rnacentral:lncRNA from 1 species
GAUACGGACCGCCGUCUGAGUCAGUCAAGUGACCUGCUCUCAUAUAGAACUCUCUAAUUAGCUCCAAACAAAAACCAGUUUGUUCCGGAAAAUCACAAAUCUGAUGAAGAUUUCCUUUUUCAAAUAAAUCCUGAAAUCCCGGCACACAGUCAAUGAUACUGGUAACGCCAACAUCGCGUUCACCAAUACAAUGUUUCGACGAGUACAUUGACCUUCGAGCAGACAGAACAUCCUGCAGACUGAGACGCGGAGGCUCAGAACCCGGUUCUCUAAUCUCAACACCUCCAGAUUUCCGACGACCGGUAUAACCAAAUGCCUUUCCUUUUUCUUUAUCCAUGGCUUUUCCUUUCCCUUUAUCAAUGGUUUUUUCUUUGCCCUUUC